rnacentral:rRNA from 1 species
GUGGGGAAUAUUGGGCAAUGGGGGAAACCCUGACCCAGCGACGCCGCGUGAGGGAAGAAGGCCUUAGGGUCGUAAACCUCUGUUGUGUGGGAAGAAGAGCGUGACGGUACCACACGAGGAAGUCCCGGCUAACUACGUGCCAGCAGCCGCGGUAAUACGUAGGGGACGAGCGUUGUCCGGAUUUACUGGGCGUAAAGGGCGCGUAGGCGGUCAUUUAAGUCAGCUGUGAAAUGGUUUGGCUUAACCGGAUCAUGCGGUUGAAACUGGAUGACUGGAGUGCUGGGGAGGCAAGUGGAAUUCCCAGUGUAGCGGUGAAAUGCGUAGAUAUUGGGAAGAACACCGGUGGCGAAGGCGACUUGCUGGCCAGCAACUGACGCUGAGGCGCGAAAGCCAGGGGAGCAAACGGGAUUAGAAACCCGGGUAGUCC